rnacentral:rRNA from 1 species
UACGUAGGUGGCAAGCGUUAUCCGGAUUCAUUGGGCGUAAAGCGCGCGUAGGCGGCCGCCUAAGCGGAACCUCUAACCCCGGGGCUCAACCUCGGGCCGGGUUCCGGACUGGGCGGCUCGAGUGCGGUAGAGGAGAGCGGAAUUCCCGGUGUAGCGGUGGAAUGCGCAGAUAUCGGGAAGAACACCGAUGGCGAAGGCAGCUCUCUGGGCCGUCACUGACGCUGAGGCGCGAAAGCUGGGGGAGCGAACAGG